rnacentral:misc_RNA from 1 species
GAAUUGCGAAAAGUAAUGUGAUUUGCACCAUUCGUGAAUCAUCGAAUUCUUGAACGCACCUUGCACCAUGUGGGCAACUACAUGGUCUGCCUGUCUGAGCACUGACUAGUAUUCACCUCAAUCACCCUUUGAUGCUGGAUGGUUGGAUGUUUGGACACUCUGCGUUGCCUUUUGUGCAUGCAAUGUGUCUGCAAAAUAGUGAACACCAUUUGUGAGAAAUGAAUGUGUUGUUGAUGAAGGCGAACGCCAUAUAUUCAUCCUCUCUCACUCAUUUCUCACACUUAUACAUAUACAAGUCAAAGUUAUAUACACUUACCUCUCAGUCUCAGAUCAGGUAGGAUUACCCGCUUAACUUAA